rnacentral:rRNA from 1 species
UUAAGUUGUCCGCCUGGGGAGUACGGCCGCAAGGCUAAAACUCAAAGGAAUUGACGGGGACCCGCACAAGCGGUGGAGCAUGUGGUUUAAUUCGAUGCAACGCGAAGAACCUUACCUGGUCUUGACAUACACGGAACUUUCCAGAGAUGGAUUGGUGCCUUCGGGAACCGUGAUACAGGUGCUGCAUGGCUGUCGUCAGCUCGUGUCGUGAGAUGUUGGGUUAAGUCCCGUAACGAGCGCAACCCUUAUCCUUAUUUGCCAGCACAUCAUGGUGGGAACUAUAAGGAGACUGCCGGUGAUAAACCGGAGGAAGGCGGGGACGACGUCAAGUCAUCAUGGCCCUUACGACCAGGGCUACACACGUGCUACAAUGGGAAGGACAAAGGGUCGCAACCUCGCGAGAGCAAGCUAAUCUCAUAAACCUUUUCGUAGUCCGGAUCGGAGUCUGCAACUCGACUCCGUGAAGUCGGAAUCGCUAGUAAUCGUGGAUCAGAAUGCCACGGUGAAUACGUUUCCGGGUCUUGCACACACCGCCCGUC